GGUUCUGUAGUGUACCGGUUAGCACUGUGUCUGCUUUACAUGCAGAAGAUCCUGGGUUCACGUCCCAGUGGAGCCA
rnacentral:tRNA from 1 species